AACGAACGCUGGCGGCAUGCCUAACACAUGCAAGUCGAACGAGCCCUUCGGGGCUAGUGGCGCACGGGUGAGUAACGCGUGGGAACCUGCCCUUAGGUUCGGAAUAACUCCCCGAAAGGGGUGCUAAUACCGGAUAAUGUCUUCGGACCAAAGAUUUAUCGCCUUUGGAUGGGCCCGCGUUGGAUUAGCUAGUUGGUAGGGUAAAGGCCUACCAAGGCGACGAUCCAUAGCUGGUCUGAGAGGAUGAUCAGCCACAUUGGGACUGAGACACGGCCCAAACUCCUACGGGAGGCAGCAGUGGGGAAUAUUGGACAAUGGGCGAAAGCCUGAUCCAGCAAUGCCGCGUGAGUGAUGAAGGCCUUAGGGUUGUAAAACUCUUUUACCCGGGAUGAUAAUGACAGUACCCGGAGAAUAAGCUCCGGCUAACUCCGUG
rnacentral:rRNA from 1 species